rnacentral:rRNA from 1 species
AUACGGAAGGUGCAAGCGUUAGUCGGAAUUACUGGGCGUAAAGGGUGCGUAGGCGGUGAUAUAAGUCGGACGUGAAAUUCCGGAGCUCAACUUCGGAACUGCGCUCGAUACUGUGUCACUUGAGGAAUGGCGGAGAAAAUGGAAUUCCAUAUGUAGCGGUGAAAUGCGUAGAUAUAUGGAAGAACACCUGUGGCGAAAGCGGUUUUCUAGCUUCCUCCUGACGCUGAGGCACGAAAGCAAGGGGAGC